GUCGGACGAUUUGAACACGCUUGUCCCUAGUUUCAUCUUGCUGGCCAAGCCACCACGUAUACGCCCCGUCGGCGGAAACCGCUUCCCGUUCAGCGGAGCCAGCGCGCUAAGAUCCCGUAAACGUCGGCCCGUCCCCGGAGCUAGUCAGCCAGGUCUCCGUCGGAUCAUUCUUCGGUACCGGUCAAUCACGUCCCCGUUCCGGUGUCUCCCUACAGAGCCCUUGCGAGGCCCCCAAUAUAGGACACAACUUUCGCGGUCUCAAGCCGGAUUUCCUCCGAACUUGUUCGUACAUACCCGGCGGCAUUGCUUGGACAGUGCUUUGACAACGUACUCCCAGACCGUUGACUUCCUGACCCUUCUUGACCCGUCUUCAGCUUAGAGAGGCGAACAUCCGGUCAACACCGAUCAACUAGCCGAACCUUUCUUCAGUGACCGAACUCAACUCCACGCCCCGGACAGAAAUGUUCCAGUCAACAUGACGACGACCUUUGACUGUUUCAAAAGAAACAUGGACUGGUUCGACUGACAUGGACUUGCAAAAUGGAGACAAAUGGCCGGAUGCUGAGGAUUCGAGUAACUAAUCGCCUAUGAGAUUAUGUAUGAAUUUCUCAUCAGACUAACCAUACAGGACAAGACCGACAACGACGAGAUGUACCUGACGAAACAGUUCCGUCACAAAGUCAGUCGAGUCCUUCCACUGCAAGUCGCUGAGACGAGCAGUAUCGCUUGAGGAGCCGGAAUAGACGUCUAUGCACCAUUUAAAGUCGGGAAGGAGCUACACAUCACCCAGAACCGCACCGUCCACAGAAGGAAGACAACGAGAGGGCCUAAGGAAUGCCAGAACAGUAGCAGAUCUGGAGCAGCAAAUCGAUUUCACUGCCACAACCACAGAAAACCUAAAACUAGUUAGACAAUUCACGGGCUGGUUUUGGCUGAUUUAUACCAUGAAUAUGUACAUGUAUAUAGCGACGACGGACCUAAUCAAACCGGAGGUGUAUGUACUAAUGAAGAAAACCAACAUAAGAAUAUGCAGAAGUGGCCAUCGCUGGGAGGAGCCAGAAUAUACAUUUGUGCGGCUUGAAAAUUCUGAACAGAGGGGAGCCACACAACAUCCAGAACAGCGCCAUCUACAGAAGGAGGGCAACAUGAGGGAAGUAGAGGCCAGUAGCAGAGCCAAGACGUACAGCCGAUAGAUUGCGAUCAUACUUGUACAUGUAUAGAUAACCUGACAUGACACCAGUAAUAGAAUUCACUGAUUGACUGAUUGAUUGACUGUUUAUAUCACGAAUAUGUAUUUUAGUGUAUACAUUGUAGUAGUUGAUUUUAUAUGUAUAUGAAUGGACCGUAGA